CAUCUCUCUCAGCCAGCAUGAGGAUUCCGGGAGGUUGGCAGGACAAAUCUCCUCCCUCCCAUGGGCUGGCGUGCUCUCCCUCCUUUCGGCCCCUCCUGAAUUCUGCCGACUCACACACAUGGUUUGCUGCCUGAAGUGGAGCUAAUGGCCACAUGCUUUCCCCUGGAGAAAACUGUUACCGCUGUGAUGCCUGAUACAAUGUGCUCAGGAGGGAGGAGAGACUCCUGUAGUUGAAGGAUUGGAAUUGGAAAAGGCAGGACAUAGAGGAGCGGCUGUCAUUCAGAAAUAGAUCCUGACUGAAGCUUUCCUCCUCAAGAAGAAGACCUGGAUUUCAGGCUGCACGAAGGCCUGACUGAAUGUAGGAGGCAGGUCCCCCGGUGCGAUGCAAAAGAGUAGUAGAAAUGUGAAUCCUUUACAACAGCCGCGGCAUUUUGCAGUUAACAAAAUGCCUCCCCAUUCACAAUCUCAUUUGAUCUCCCAACUCCCCUGUGAGAUAGGUAUCAGGGCUGGCAGCUGCCUCCAUCCCAGGAAUAAAGUCCUGAGCCCCAAAGAGCCGUGAUGGGAGGAGAAACACCAGCAUGAGAAUCUCCUGAGAAUGACUGGCUCAUCUUGGCAGUUCUGGGGCUGUGCUUCUUCGGUGUGGGAAAAUGCACUCCCCUACCCUGCUGAGUCCAGCCAUUUCAUUUCUUAUCUUGGUUUACUCAGUACCGAGCCAGUGGCACUUACAUAAAUGUCCUUCUGGCAUGAGGGAGAGAGAGAGAGGGGAAAGAGAGGGGGAGAGAGAGAGAGAGAGAAGGGAAACAGCAGCUGUCAGCAGAGUGUCAGGCUGGGGACCUGCCAUCUCAUUGAACAAAGCUCCAGUCAACUCCAACAGUGUCCUGGGUGCACCUCUAAUCAUGGGUGAUGGGAUUGUCCUCGGGCUCAGGAUUACUUCCUGCCCUUAAAGAGAACAGGGAGAGAGAGUCCUUUAGCUGUUACCACGGUGUCACUUGUAAAUCAUUAACCAGGACGGAGAGGAACCAGAGCAAGAUCAAAACAAGUGAAUCCUGAUACCAAGGCCCCUCAAGACCAUGUCUCAGUGGUAACAUCUGAGCAUUAAUCUUACUUGGCUAUCACAAACAGGCCAUCUGUUUAGGUGGGACGGUGGGGACUACACUUUGCAUUUCUUUUAACUCUAAAGAGUCUUCCAAUAUUUAGCAUUUCCCACUGGGGCUGGAAAAACUCCCUCUUGUGUGAUCUGCUCCACCUCCCUGCCUCUGACGGCACUGGAGGCCCCUCCGCUCUUGGUGGCCGUGCUUCUGGAGUUCAAUGCCUCUUCUUUUUCUGCAAUUCCCCAUGGAGGAGACUGUGCAACCAUCCUGUGCACCCCACUCCAAGGCCUCUAACCCUACAGAGUUUUCUUUUCUCUCUGAGGGCCCCCAGCUUAAAAGACCAUCAAGAAACAAGAUUGAUGAAUGUGGAUAAUGGUUGAAGCUUGCUGAUUGUUACAUGGGGAAUCAUACUAGUCUGUCUACUUUAUGUGUGUAAAAUCUCUAUAAUAAAA